UAGAUGACCUCCUGAGGUCCUUUCCAGCCAUUCUAAGCAAUUCUACGUGAAGUGGAUAAGCUAUGAGAAAUGGGGCAUGCUAAGUUAGUAAAGUGUGGAAGUACAAAUAAGAAACAGGGGCGAUACUCUUACUCUGAUGCAUAAGCACAGCGGGGGUAACAGGAUAAAACGUCUAGCCCAGGCUGAGUGUGGAAGGAAGCAUGUCAGGGACACCCAAUAGGAAGGCCACUUGACGAUCUUUUUACCCAUCUUGAUGUUGCCCUAAGGGAUGAGAAUAUGAAAUCCUUGAUGCUGGACAUCUCAUUGUUUCUCUCUCUCUCUCUGUUUCAGUAGUUGGGGCAUUGUUCAUCUGCUUAAUUAAAUUGUUAAUAAGAGAAUGUGUGAUAACCUGUGACCAUAUGUCAUACACUCACAGUUCGUCCUCCUAGAGUCUCUAAACCUAAUAGAAUGCCUAAUGGUGAUUCUCACUCUACUGAUCCCCAUACUGUAGGUGUUCAGGAGGCUGAAUCCUUAGCACAAGUCACUGUGGCUUAAGAUGCCCAUUCGUAGUACCAACCCAAACGUAUCAAAUUAACCAGGCUACACUUCCCUCACAGGGGUUCUGGGAAGUUUAAUUAGUUAAGCCUGUAAAAGCACUUUGAGAUCCUGACAUGAGAGGUACAAAGUAUUAUUAUAUACACACCUGUCUACAAGCCACUGAUAUCUAACUUUAAUCUGACUAAAUAUUCAUUGGUAAAGUAGUAGAGCUGCGCAGAGGCAGAAGUUUCAUUUCACUAAGGAUUUCAGGAUUUGGAAAUGUGGCUUCAUUCCACACAAAAUUCUUCAUUUUGGGAUAAUCAAAACAUUUCAUUUCAAUUUUUUGAAAUUUAGAAUUACAAACACAAAAUAAAAGUUUUGGAAACGCUGUUUCAGAAGAAAAAAUGGAUCUGUUUCCUUCCAAAUACGUUGGAAACUGAUUCAACAUUGUCAAACUUUUUCCUGGUUUUCUUCUGAAAAGAAAUUCAAGUGAAAUCCACCGUAUUUCGCACAGGGUUUAGAUUUUGAUUGAACUGGAUAUUCUGCUGGAAACUGGGUUGGUCAAUGUUUUUUUCCUCCAACCAGCUCUACGAUGCAGCCUUCAGCUUUGGUACUGGAUAAUUAGGUAGGUGUCUGUAAUAAAGUCAAAUGCACCAUAGUCUAAUGCUGUCAUUUUACAGUCAGCCACAUCCAUGACUGCUUAGACUCUUCACGACAUAGGGUCCAAUCGAAAGCCCCCCACUGGCUUCCUUACUCUCCCUAGCUGGCCUAGUCAUCCAAAAUGGGGUUUUGAGAGUAAUCCAGAACUGGUGGAUUUGGCACAAAUGUCUCAAAUCACAUCUCCUGGUUCUUAUAGCCUGUAUCCCUUUCAAUGGAGGAAUCUUGUUGCCAUCCAACCUAGACAUCACCCAGAAGGGUAUUAACUGAUUCCAGGGAAAUAAAAUGCACUGAAAGCUAAAAGCCAGCUGCUGACUUGGCUCUCUUUCAGGGAGUGUGAUUGAUUUCAUGUUUCUUCUCUCCUAAAAGGUGACAGAUUCCGGCCUGGAAAUCCACCUUCUUAUGGAAUUAUUUUUUAUAAUUCAUUUAUAGGAUUUUAACUAGAUCUUGAACAAGGAAUAACUAUAAACCACAGAAGAGGUUAUGCCAUGAAUCCAGCAAAUAAUGCCCACAGGUCAAAAAUAACCAAGAGAAGAGGAAGCAAACCAAAUGAGAGGCAAAUAUUUUUUCAUUAUUCUUCACAUGCUUUUAAAAUAGACCAUAGUUUAGUCAAGAGGAAACAAAGCAUAACUUUAGCGCACUAUGUAUUACCUCUUCUAAUAAUGCACAGGAAAUUUGUGUCAAACACUGAUACUACCAGAAACACUGAAGCAAAACCAUACGUUUCCAAAUAAGUCUCAAGAAAGAGAAAUCAAGCCACUCAUUAAGAAGACCACCGUCCUGACACCAAUUGAAAUCCAACACAGUUCUUAGGGUGUUCAAGUUCUAGGAGUGACUGUUAUAAAAACUGGUAAAAAAGGGAAAUUAUUCUGUGCGGUAGUUUACGUAAAGUUUCCAGUGCACAGUACAGCAGCAAGAUCACUGGUGUGGGAUUCCUCUUCCCUGUCUGAUGAAAUAGCCACUAUCGACGCUGCAGAACAUUUCGCCUUAUCCCACUCAACCUUUUUCUCCCUAAUUUGAAUCAGAAUAUUCUUGAAAAGGAGAUGAAAACAACAGCUCCCCAUCCUCACGAGUUCUUUCUUCAUUAGUGCUUCUUUGUUCAGAAUCAUUAAUGUUAUGACUGAGUAGAUGUUGCCAUCCCUAGUAAAAAAUAAUAUAUUCUCAACCUUCCAAAAGUUACCCACCUUAUCAGCUUCACUUUACAAAGUGGGACAUGGCUUUGGGCAGUCGUUACUAAAGAUAGUGACUGAGGGGGUAUCCCAUAUCUCAGUAAAAGGCUUCAAUGCGCAGGGUUCUGAGAACUGCUAGCUCCCAUUGAUGUUAAUAGCAUCUGAAAAUGCUCAGAACCUUGCAGGAUCCGAUGCUAAAAUGAACAUCCCCUGAAGUCCAACAGUCUCCUCCACAUUAGUAUUAGUUCUAGGUCCAUUAGUAAAAACCCACUAGCCUCUGUCAACCUCAAUACCCAUCUGAGGACUCCAUCCCAAGGCCUGGGUCAACAUUUUAUUAGCAAAUGCACAGCUGUCAUUGCCUUCCGUUCUGGCAGGUCAGUUCAGAACCUUUGCCUUUUCACUUUUAAUACUGCUUUCCAAGGAUUCACGUUUAAAAUGCAGAGGCAUGUUAUCUUUCAUCACCAUAUUCAACACAGUUUGCAGGGCAUUAACCUUGGGUGUAAGUAUUUGGAACUGAUCUGCUGGUAUCCAAUUCCAGUGCGCAGAUACCAAAUUGUUGGUCCACAGAGACUAAUUUGCCACCGAGAUAAUCCAUUUGUUGCUGCAGGUUUUCAAAUCAAGCCUCCAAUUUUGGAGCCAUAGACUGUGAAUAUUGUAGGACUUUUCCCACGAUUAUUAGUUACAGCAAUUUCAGAAGCUUCUUUCCAUUGAGGGGCUGAUAACAUAGCCUCGGGGGUGAGGAAGGGGCCAUCUCUGGAGUGUCCUGGCUCAGCUAAUUGGAAAUUAAAGUCAAGGAAGGAAUUCCCUGGAUUCUCAGCCUGGGCAGCUUUUAAGCUUAUGCCACUUGGGAGGCAUACUUAAAUAUAAAGAAGGAAACAUCACAUACCAGUGAAUGAACUCAAGACAUAAGUCCUCUCUCUGUCUGUGUUAUGUGCUGCUCCAAACUACACAUCUUAAAAGAGCAAAACACCAAGAAACCAUCACUGCUAAUAACAGCCCAGCCAGUCAGCCAGACUCACCUGCCUUCUUUGAAAGGCUGCCAACAGCCACAAGAAAACCAACUCCUGCCUCAGUGCGGGCAGUUCCCAAACCACAGAGGUCACUGUGAGCGCACUGACUCACAGCUGGAGCCUGGAUCAAACAUGCAUCGAGGGUCCUAUAUAAAUACUAAGAGCAGGAUUUACCAAUAUGUUCUGGCUGCUUUGUGCUGCUACAGUGACGCAAGCCAACCACAAGCACAGCUUACCCGGCCAGGUAAGCCAAGUUUACAGCUGCUCUGUGUGACCAGAGUGGUGGAAAAGUUGGAGCUCAUCGCUGAAUUUGUCCCAAUGUGAGGUAUUUAUUUGUAUGACAGUAGUGUGUAAAGGGCCCCAUUAUAAUGGAACCCUCUCCCCCCGCCCCCAACACAGUAAGAUAGGCACUGCCCCAAAGAGCUUGCAAUCGAAACAGGCAAGAUAAAGGGUGGAGGAGAACAAAGGCAGAGAAAGGGGAGGUGACUUUCCCAGGGUCAUGCAGCAGGUCACUGGCUGAGCUGGGAUUAGAACUCUCCAGAUUUCCAGUCCCAUCCUAGACUGUGCUGCAUCUCUCAGAGCUGUAAUAGCACCUGGCCAGAAUCCUGCCAUUCACCCCAACUGGUUUUCACUUUGCUCAGGAGAAGAGAGGCAGGUUUCUAACACUAGUGCUGGCAUCUGGAUUGCUGUGCUCUUAGUUUUGUCAGCCUCAGAAAAUACACACUGCACACGCUGAUCAAACACCUUUUCAGUUUAUUCUUCAGUUCCCCUGGGCCCAGAACAACAUUAAAAACUGUCCACCUUUGAAAGAGGCAUUGAUUAAAAAUACUUCUUAACAAUCCAGCUAUGGAGCUAAUUUCCAUUUCCUACAAUUAUUAUUUUAAUUUAAAGCAGUAGCUCCUUCAUAUUAAAUUUCUGUCUCUUAUAAAGAAACAAGUGCAGAGCAGAGAAUUAAACAAAUAUCACUUUCUGCUGGGGCUCCACACUUCCUGAGAACGACACUUACAGGAAUGCCAGCCCCAGAAUGCUGAGUGCGGCACCUGGACAGUUUGCAUUGUGAGAAGAGUUCCCCACAGAGCAUAAACUAGGAACACUGCCAAGACUAAAGAUCCUGAUGCAAAUGGGCCUUUCGAGCCUCCAACUGGCUGUGCCCAUGUGACUGAAAAGUGACUUCCUUUGGCAGGCUGGAAGCAUGACCAAAUCCCUGUCUGAACCCAGAUUUUCUGAAGUGAAUGGAUCAUGGACUAAGCCACUGAGGGCCAUUCCUGGGUCCCAAAGGGACUCCGUGUAAUACUGUCGGGAAAUUUAGCACUUACAUCACACUUUUCAUCUUCAAAGUGCAUUACAAACAUUACCUAGCUCAUGCUCACAACAGCUCUGUUUGCAGAUUCAUGCUUGACAAAUACAGGGCAUUCUCCCGCUUGGAACCUGCUGGUUAAUAUUAGGCUAUUGUAGGGAAUGUUUGCAUCAGGGAGACACAGAGCCUGUGGGUGCAGGGACCAUUGUGAUAGGUGCUCUGUACACACACUAAAAAAGAGAAAAAGAAAAAAAA